ensembl:snRNA U6 U6 spliceosomal RNA
GUGCAUGAGUUGGCAGAACAUAUACUAAGAUUGGAACAACACAAAGAUUAGUCUGGGGCCUUGGCAAGGAUGGCAUACAAAUUUGAAAACUGUUUUAUAUUUUA